rnacentral:rRNA from 1 species
GGACCCGCACAAGUAGUGGAGCAUGUGGUUUAAUUCGAAGAUACGCGCAGAACCUUACCAACACUUGACAUGUUCGUCGCGACUCUAAGAGAUUAGAGUUUUCGGUUCGGCCGGACGAAACACAGGUGCUGCAUGGCUGUCGUCAGCUCGUGUCGUGAGAUGUUGGGUUAAGUCCCGCAACGAGCGCAACCCUCACUUUUAGUUGCCAUCAUUAAGUUGGGCACUCUGAAAGAACUGCCAGUGAUAAGCUGGAGGAAGGUGGGGAUGACGUCAAGGCUCCUAUGGGCCCCUUACGUGUUGGGCUACACACGUGCUACAAUGGCAUCUACAACAGGAAGCAAAACCGGACAACGUUAAG